UUGGUCAUGUAAUUAGGUCCCUAAUG
rnacentral:piRNA from 1 species